rnacentral:rRNA from 1 species
CAACCCUGGUGGCGAGUGGCGAACGGGUGAGUAAUACAUCGGAACGUGUCCUGUAGUGGGGGAUAGCCCGGCGAAAGCCGGAUUAAUACCGCAUACGCUCUACGGAGGAAAGGGGGGGAUCUUAGGACCUCCCGCUACAGGGGCGGCCGAUGGCAGAUUAGCUAGUUGGUGGGGUAAAGGCCUACCAAGGCGACGAUCUGUAGCUGGUCUGAGAGGACGACCAGCCACACUGGGACUGAGACACGGCCCAGACUCCUACGGGAGGCAGCAGUGGGGAAUUUUGGACAAUGGGGGCAACCCUGAUCCAGCAAUGCCGCGUGUGUGAAGAAGGCCUUCGGGUUGUAAAGCACUUUUGUCCGGAAAGAAAACGCCGUGGUUAAUACCCGUGGCGGAUGACGGUACCGGAAGAAUAAGCACCGGCUAACUACGUGCCAGCAGCCGCGGUAAUACGUAGGGUGCAAGCGUUAAUCGGAAUUACUGGGCGUAAAGCGUGCGCAGGCGGUCCGCUAAGACAGAUGUGAAAUCCCCGGGCUUAACCUGGGAACUGCAUUUGUGACUGGCGGGCUAGAGUAUGGCAGAGGGGGGUAGAAUUCCACGUGUAGCAGUGAAAUGCGUAGAGAUGUGGAGGAAUACCGAUGGCGAAGGCAGCCCCCUGGGCCAAUACUGACGCUCAUGCACGA